AGGCUUUUACAUAUUAUGUUAUAUAUUAGUCAUAUUAUAUUAUAUUAUAUUAUAUUAUAUUAUAUUAUAUUAUAUAACAUAUACCAAUAAUAUAUCUUACCUGAAUUGACAGAUAUUGUUACUGGAAAUAACAAUUCUGGAAAUAAAUAAUUA
rnacentral:miRNA from 1 species